rfam:Triticum aestivum genome assembly, contig: Triticum_aestivum_CS42_TGACv1_scaffold_161848_2DL
CAACUACUCCCUCUGCCCCAAAUUUCUUGUCUUAGAUUUGUCUAGAUACAGAUGUAUCUAAUACUAAAAUGUGACUUGAUACAUCCGUAUCUAGACAAAUCUAAGACAAGAAUUUUGGGAUGGAGGGAGUACUUU